CGGGAUGUAGCCCCGCAUGGCGGGGUACGUCGUUCGGGAUCCCGCAGGGCGGGACUGGUUCGAAUCCAGUCAUCCCGA
rnacentral:tRNA from 1 species